GCGUCUGUUGUAUAAUGGCUAUUACCUCAGCCUUCCAAGCUGAAGAUGCGGGUUCGAUUCCCGUCGGACGCU
rnacentral:tRNA from 2 species